rnacentral:rRNA from 1 species
GGCCCUACGGGGCGCAGCAGGCGAGAAAACUCUGCAAUGUGCGAAAGCACGACAAGGUUAAUCCGAGUGAUUUCUGCUAAAGGAAUCUUUUGUUAGUUCUAAAAAUACUAGUGAAUAAGGGGUGGGCAAGUUCUGGUGUCAGCCGCCGCGGUAAAACCAGCACCUCAAGUGGUCAGGAGGAUUAUUGGGCCUAAAGCAUCCGUAGCCUGUUCUAUAAGUUUGCGGUUAAAUCUAUACGCUCAACGUAUAGGCUGCCGUAAAUACUGUAGAACUAGGGAGUGGGAGAGGUAGACGGUACUCGAUAGGAAGGGGUAAAAUCCUUUGAUCUAUUGAUGACCACCUGUGGCGAAGGCGGUCUACCAGAACACGUUCGACGGUGAGGGAUGAAAGCUGGGGGAGCAAACCGGAUUAGAUACCCGGGUAGUCCCAGCUGUAAACGAUGCAGACUCGAUGAUGCAAUGGCAUAGAGCUAUUGCAGUAUCGCAGGGAAGCCGUUAAGUCUGCCGCCUGGGAAGUACGUACGCAAGUAUGAAACUUAAAGGAAUUGGCGGGGGAGCAC